CCCGGCGGAGGAGCGGCCGCGUCAGGGGCACUGACUCGCCCGCGGGCCGAGAGCCUUGAGCUCUCGCCAGCCGACUCCGAGACGGGGAACGCCGCUCUCUCCGCGCCCUGACGCGUUUUUCUCGCCGGUUCUCCAAGAUCAGCAGCAGCGGCUGGCGGCCCGGAGCGGGCCCGGUGACCCCGAGCUGUGCUUGCCGCGCUCAGGUGUCAACCUGCCGGCAUUUGCCUUACGGCGCAGGCAGCUCCAUAGCCAUGGCCUGGAGUCGCUCCACUGCUGGGUAGGAGCUGGCAGCAUCCCACUUCCCUACCUCCAGGAUGGGACCACGUGGCUGCUGCCGCUGCUUCAGAUCGUGAGUGAGAUCGGAGCCGACGCGGUGCAAUUAUGGACCUGCCCGUUACCGAGGAGCGGCCGAGGCGCACAGAGCCGACGAAUGCUGAAACACGAAGAUGAUUUAGCAAAAUCCGGUCACGUCUGGGGGACAACGUUCAAAAAUUAACUGUUUUUACCUCAUUUUGUACUGACCCCUACACUCUGAACGUGCUGUGGUGAAUCUGAAGACUGUGGCCACUAAACUGCAUUUAAUUCUAAAACCAGCUUUGAAAUACCAUGCAGAUGGCAGACUAGCAAGCAGCGGUGAUUGCCUGUGUUUUGGAAUUUUAACGUCAGCACCACCUGUAAUCUGUACACAGCUGUGGCUAAAGGUGAAAAUGAAGGUUCUCUGUACAUGAUAAACCAAAAAACUACGAGUCAGCUCUCAGUAUUUUAAAUGGCUGAGAUUUCAGGAGGUAGUUCUGUUGCUCCAUCUGAAACACAAGUUUGCCUAAGGACAACCCCCUAUAGUAAUAGGAUUCUGGUUUCCGCCCUCCUUCAAAGCGUGGAAAUUCAUCUGGAGUAGGAAGCAAACCCUUCCGGGCUCCUGAGCAGUAAGAGAAGCAAGGGACAGGAGUGAGAAAAGACAUUGCAUUCGUGAGAAUACUGUCUGCCCAAGAAAUGCCUUUCCUUCCUCCUUGCAUUUCCAUGUGGAAGGAUGUUCCCCUCACCUCUCAGAGCACCGCGACCUCGCCCCCGGACACCAUGGUCCCUUCCUCUGGAGUUUUCAUCUGGAGAGUCAAAAGCGUCAUCUGGCCCAAAAUCUUCAGGGCCAGGAAAGCCAUCUCUGCCCCUGGGUCCCCGGCCCUCAUGUCUUGAGGGUCCUCCUCUUCUGAAGCUACAAGAAAAAACAUGAUACAAAUAUGGGAUUUAGGUAGAACUGAGUCAGCUUCAGUUUUAUAAUCAACUCAUUUCUGAACUGUUUCACCUAAUGCUACAGCACAUACAGUUACUAGAACAGGAUAUGUAGGUGGAAAAGUGCUCAUUUGCUGCCUUCAAGCACUUUGAUAGUAAUCUUUGUAGUUUUCCCCUCAUAUUUCCUUCUGUUGAUUGUGUUGGCUUUUCAUAGAAGGAAAAUUUUGUUAAACAUACUGCAUUCAUUUAAUGAAAAGGCAGGAAAAAAAAUUAAUGAGUGAUGAUAAAUGUAAGGUGAGGUAAGGCAAGGAAAAGUAAUUUCCCUUAACUGUGGUGGUCUUACAUUCCCAUUCCCCUUUUCUCUUUCCAUUUUGGUGAUAAAACAAACGGAAAACAUACAAGCAAUGAGAAUCACGGCUAUAACAAAAUAUCCCAGCAUCUCAUUCCUAUUGAUUCUAUAAUUCUUUUGCCAAAAUAUUCUCUUUUUCAUUCCAUUCUUCAAAGUUUACAACUUGAGCAAGUGCAUCUAGACUGCCCUUGGCUCUGUAGGGACAGUGAUGGCGGAACAGCACACAGCAGCGUUCUGCAACCUGAAGAGCAGUUUAUCCAGCUGCAAUAAUCAAGAACUUUGUGUUGUAAAAUGUAGUUAUGGCACUGAAGUUUGAUAAUUGCCUUCUACUUCUAUGGCAUCUUCAGGAAUUUAGUAUGACUGGAUUCUGCACCUCAUCUUAACUGAGUACAGUUCCUCCAGCACCGCACUGGGGGGGCCUGGACAGCUCUCCAGAGAGGAGAAUGGCUCUUACUGACCUGUCAGUGUCAUGUCAGGUCAGCCUGCAGAUGGCUGCAUGAAUAAUUAAUAGUUUUGUUUCUGACAUGACCAGUUGAAACACCUGGAGUGCUUGUAAAGCACAUCCAUGUUCUGUGACGACUGCACUUGGAAGGUGCACGCCAGCCUCAGACACAGCCCAGGGUCCCUGCAGGCACAGGGCGAGUGUUUAGGUGGUGCUGAGUCCUCGCCGUGCCACCCACCCUCAGUGACAGCACACAGUGUGGAGCACUCCUUGCCCAGUCACAGAUGCCCCCCACCUCCCUGCUGUUCCCAGUUCCACACUGGCCAAACUGGAACCACCACAAUAUUCCAAGGGUGUUGGCUGUGUGCAGCAUCCCCUUCCCCAGCUCAUUAACGACACAGUGCAUCCUAUUACAAGCAAAACUUUAGAUACUUUUAUUUAGAAUUUUAACAACAUUAACCUUUUAAUUACAAAUUUAAAUAUUUUAACAGUAGUCAUAACACAAUACAAUAUUUUUAAACUUUUACAUUGUUUUUAAUAAAAAACAAUAGGUCUGUCUCCACCUCCCAGAAAACAAGCACAAUACAGAGAGGAGGCUGCUGUGCCUGUACAGGUACAACAGUGAAUGGAGGAGUGCUGUGUAUGGACCAUGAACCAUUUACAUUAACCUGGAUGGUUUAGGAAAACAAACUCAACAGUUUCAGGUACAAAUGGUUCAGAUAAUCACAGAGCAAUAUUGUUUAGCCUUGAAACAGCACAGUCCUCUAGAUGUUUCUUAGAGGGCCUCCCACUUUAAUACUGACAUGGUGUGAUUCUGCUUAGCUCGAAAAUUACCAAGAUUUGCAACACAAGGCCCUAGGGCUGCAGGAACAGGGCCUUUCCUAUUGCUUUCAGGCAACUUACGGACACAGUUGAGUUUUGAAAUCUACCAUACCUAUGCCUGACACAGCCACAGCUCCUAAAACUGUGUUAUGGAUAUCCUUAUUCACCUUUUCAUAUCAGUCAGGCGGAAAGCCCUGCCUUGCAUCGGGCUCAGUUCCCGUUUGACUGCUCUCAUAUCUUCUUCCUCGAGGCCUAGGACCUUACUGUACACAACUACACACUGUGCAGAUUAGCAGGCAGGAAGAGGCAGGUCUCUGCAGUAGAAGCAUCAUGUUGAUAUGCACAGGUAGAGUAAGAACAGGACAGGGAUGAAAAGGACGGGAAAUUAGAGAGAAACAUACAUACACACAUUUGCCUCUCAUGCUUGAUCAAACCGGUUACAAUCUCAAUUCUAAACCAAGUCAGCUAAAGGAGUGGUUGGGAUUAAGUCCACCACAGCAUCUGCAGUAAAUGGCACCUUGUUCACCUUCAUUCCAAGAAAUUCAUCGAGUUUACAAGCACAAUGAGCCCUUUAGAGCCCUGUGCCAAAUCACUGCAAACUCUGGACAAACACUUGUAUUCUGAUAAGCAGAUUACUCUUAGUUAAAAAGUCAGGUUUUUGUUUCCCUUCCUGAAACUUCUGAAAAAUCAGGACCAUAAUAAAAUAUUUUCCAGUCCCUAA